GCUGCAUCUUCAGCUACCAGAAGGCAAGUACAAGUGAAGAUAACGUCGAAGACGUGCCGUGCUCCCCUUUCAUCAUUGGCAAAGGAGAAAACUUUCUGACUGCCGGGGCAUUUACCAUCUGUAUUGAUACCCAUGCUGUGGUCGAAUCCACCACACGGUGCCAGGCAUUCAAGUUGAUGUUCUUUACACACUUCGCCUUUACUAUUGAAUACCGCAAGGAGGUCAGCCUAACCCUGGAGUUCACACAAAGGGCAGCCGCCGCACUCAACCCUGACAGAGGGAGCAAGGUCGAGAAGUCAAGGAAGCAGCGCUGCCUCACACCACAAAUGACCAACUUAAAGCUCUGCGAGACUAUGAAUGC